rnacentral:tRNA from 1 species
GGCCCCCUAGCUCAACAGCUAGAGCAUCUGGUUCUUACCCAGCAGGUUGAAGGUGCAAAUCCUUCGGGGGUCAC